UACGGAAGGCAGCAGUGGGGAAUAUUGCACAAUGGGCGCAAGCCUGAUGCAGCCAUGCCGCAUGUAUGAAGAAGGCCUUCGGGUUGUAAAGUACUUUCAGUCGUGAGGAAGGUGUUAAGGUUAAUAACCUUAGCAAUUGACGUUAGCGACAGAAGAAGCACCGGCUAACUCCGUGCCAGCAGCCGCGGUAAUACGGAGGGUGCGAGCGUUAAUCGGAAUUACUGGGCUAAAGGGCACGCAGGCGGUUAAUAAGUUGGAUGUGAAUCCCCGGGCUUAACCUGGGAAUGGCAUUCAAGACUGGUUAGCUAGAGUCUUGUAGAGGGGGUAGAAUUCCAUGUGUAGCGGUGAAAUGCGUAGAGAUGUGGAGGAAUACCGGUGGCGAAGGCGGCCCCUGGACAAGACUGACGCUCAUGUGCGAAAGCGUGGGGAGCGAAACAGGAUUAGAUACC
rnacentral:rRNA from 1 species